rnacentral:rRNA from 1 species
GGUUCAUUCAAAUUUCUGCCCUAUCAACUUUCGAUUGGAAGGUAGUGUCCUCCAAUGGUUUCGACGGGUAACGAAGAAUUAGGGUUCGAUCUCGGAGAGGAAGCCUGAGAAACGGCUUACACAUCCAAGGAAGGCAGCAGGCGCGCAAAUUACCCAAUCCCAAUCGGGGAGGUAGUGACAAUAAAUACUGAUGCAGGGCUCUUUAGGGUCUUGCAAUUGGAAUGAGUACAAUUUAAAUCCCUUAACGAGGAACAAUUGGAGGGCAAGUCUGGUGCCAGUAGCCGCGGUAAUUCCAGCUCCAAUAGCGUAUAUUAAAGUUGUUGCAGUUAAAAAGCUCGUAGUUU